AAUAUGGCAGACAAGUGCUAUGAAUUUAAGCUUCAUCUAUAAAGAUUAACCUUUUAUU
rnacentral:tRNA from 1 species